GGGUGGUAGUUAAGGGCUAGGGUGGUGGUUAAGGGUUAGGGUUAGGGUGGUGGUUAAGGGUUAGGGUUAGGGUGGUGGUUAAGGGUUAGGGUUAGGGUGGUGGUUAAGGGUUAGGGUGGUGGUUAAGGGUUAGGGUGGUGGUUAAGGGUUAGGGUGGUGGUUAAGGGUUAGGGUGGUGGUUAAGGGUUAGGGUUGUGGUUAAGGGUUAGGGUGGUGGUUAAGGGUUAGGGUUAGGGUGGUGGUUAAGGGCUAGGGUGGUGGUUAAGUGUUAUGGUGGUGGUUAUGGGUUAGGGUUAGGGUGGUUGUUAAGGGUUAGGGUGGUGGUUAAGGGCUAGUGUGGUGGUUAAGGGUUAGGGUGGUGGUAAAGGGUUAGGGUGGUGGUUAAGGGUUAGGGUGGUGAUUAAGGGUUAGGGUGGAACCAACUAGGGUGGUAGUUAAGGGCUAGGGUGGUGGUUAAGGGUUAGGGUUAGGGUGGUGGUUAAGGGCUAGGGUUAGGGUGGUGGUUAAGGGUUACGGUGGUGGUUAAGGGUUAGGGUGGUGGUUAAGGGUUAGGGUGGUGGUUAAGGGUUAGGGUGGUGGUUAGGGGUUAGGGUUAGGGUGGUGGUUAAGGGUUAGGGUGGUGGUUAAGGGUUAGGGUGGUGGUUAAGGGUUAGGGUGGUGGUUAAGGGUUAGGGUAGUGGUUAAGGGCUAGGUAGGUGGUUAAGGGUUAGGGUGGUGGUUAUGGGUUAGGGUUAGGGCGGUGAAUAAGGGUUAGGGUGGUGGUUAAGGGUUAGGGUGGUGGUUAAGGGUUAGGGUGGUGGUUAAGGUUUAGGGUGGUGGUUGGGGUUAGGGUGGUGUUUAAGGGUUAGGGUGGUGGUUAAGGGUUAGGGUUAGGGCGGUGGUUAAGGGUUAGGGCGGUGGGUUAGGGUUAGGGUGGUGGUUAAGGGUUAGGGUGGUGGUUAAGGGUUAGGGUGGGUUAGGGUGGUGGUUAAGGGUUAGGGUUAGGGUGGUGGUUAAGUGUUAGGGUUAGGGUGGUGGUUAAGGGUUAGGGUGGUGGUUAAGGGUUAGGGUGGUGGUUAGGGGUUAGGGUUAGGGUGGUGGUUAAGUGUUAGGGUUAGGGUGGUGGUUAAGGGUUAGGGUGGUGGUUAAGGGUUAGGGUGGUGGUUAAGGGG
ensembl:lncRNA